CAAUAGCGUAUAUUAAAGUUGUUGCAGUUAAAAAGCUCGUAGUUGGAUUUCUGGAUGGAGCGACCGGUCGGGCAUUAAUUUGUCUGCACUGGAGUCGGUUCCGUCCAUCCUCUUGGAAAGUGCGUGGGGCAUUAAGUUGUCUGGCGUAUGAUCCAAGUCGUUUACUGUGAAAAAAUUAGAGUGUUUAAAGCAGGCCUUCGCCUUGAAUACAUUAGCAUGGAAUAAUAAGAUAGGACUUUGGUCUAUUUUGUUGGUUUGCAGACCGAAGUAAUGAUUAAUAGGGAUAGUUGGGGGUAUUUAUAUUCCGAUGUCAGAGGUGAAAUUCUUAGAUUUUCGGAAGAUAAACUUAUGCGAAAGCAUUUACCAAGGAUGUUUNCAUCAA
rnacentral:rRNA from 1 species